UUUUCUGAGCAUGCUCAGAAGGGUCUCUGAGGCCUGGAAAGAGGAAGGAGGCCUUUCUCCUCAACCCUGGCUCCCUCCCCUUCCAAGGUUUUCCUCAGAAGAGGCAUUUAUUUCAACCCUCAAGGAUGUGUUUUAAAAAAGAAAGAAAAAAAUACAUUUGGCUCCCUGAGGUAGCCAGCAAAUAGCCAGAAAUUCAGAGGAGAGAGAGACUCUGCACUUUUUAGCUGAAUCAGCCCAGAUUACCUCAACAGUCGGCCUUUUGAGAGACAAGAUGAAAGGGGGAAAUGGUGGAAAAAUCUGCAACGAAAAGGGGACAGCAAAGUC